rnacentral:rRNA from 1 species
AACGAACGCUGGCGGCAUGCCUAACACAUGCAAGUCGAGGGGUAGAACACUUCGGUGUUUGAGACCGGCGCACGGGUGCGUAACGCGUAUGCAAUCUACCUUGUACAGGGGAAUAGCCCAGAGAAAUUUGGAUUAAUGCCCCAUAGUAUAUAACCUUCGCAUGUUGGUUAUAUUAAAGUUCCAACGGUACAAGAUGAGCAUGCGUCCCAUUAGUUAGUUGGUAAGGUGACGGCUUACCAAGACGAUGAUGGGUAGGGGUCCUGAGAGGGAGAUCCCCCACACUGGUACUGAGAAACGGACCAGACUCCUACGGGAGGCAGCAGUGAGGAAUAUUGGUCAAUGGGCGCAAGCCUGAACCAGCCAUGCCGCGUGCAGGAAGACGGUCCUAUGGAUUGUAAACUGCUUUUAUACAGGAAGAAACAACUCUACGUGUAGAGUCUUGACGGUACUGUAGGAAUAAGGAUCGGCUAACUCCGUGCCAGCAGCCGCCGCCGUAA